GACCAUCCUCCAAGGCUAAAUACUCCUGACUGACCGAUAGUGAACCAGUACCGUGAGGGAAAGGCGAAAAGAACCCCGGCGAGGGGAGUGAAAAAGAACCUGAAACCGUGUACGUACAAGCAGUGGGAGCCUCUUUAUGGGGUGACUGCGUACCUUUUGUAUAAUGGGUCAGCGACUUAUAUUCUGUAGCAAGGUUAACCGCAUAGGGGAGCCGAAGGGAAACCGAGUCUUAACUGGGCGUUAAGUUGCAGGGUAUAGACCCGAAACCCGGUGAUCUAGCCAUGGGCAGGUUGAAGGUUGGGUAACACUAACUGGAGGACCGAACCGACUAAUGUUGA
rnacentral:rRNA from 1 species